rnacentral:rRNA from 1 species
UCGGGAGGCUUGCACAGGUGCUGCAUGGCUGUCGUCAGCUCGUGUCGUGAGAUGUCGGUUAAGUCCGCUAACGAGCGCAACCCUCACCUGUGUGUUAUAUGUGUCACACGGGACCGCCGGGUCUUAAGCCGGAGGAAGGUGGGGAUGACGUCAAGUCAGCAUGGCCUUUAUAUCCUGGGCUACACACACGCUACAAUGGCCAACACAAUAGGUUGCUAAGCCGCGAGGUGGAGCCAAUCCAUAAAGUUGGUCUCAGUUCAGAUUGUAGGCUGCAACCCGCCUGCAUGAAGAUGGAGUUGCUAGUAACCGCAGGUCAGCUAUACUGCGGUGAAUACGUUCCCGGGGCUU